ACCAUGAGGGUUUAGGCCCAAAGUGGGCAAUAUCAUACCAUUGUGGAGAUAUCUAAAUUCUUUUUGAUUCUACAAUGACCCCGCUUGGACCCAUUCCAAGUCAUAUGGGUUCAUAUGAGUCACAGGAGUUCAAAUAUGCUCUCAUUUACUCUUUUAAGGUCUUCCUAGUGUUGAUCCAAAUGAUUUGAAUCUUUUUAUACAUUGUGGUGCUGGUCUUAGAAUAUCAGUACCAUGUUGGUGCUUAUCUUCAGAAACCAACACCAAGCCCGAUGAUGAGAAGCCAAGGCUAUGUUGAUGUUGGUUUUGCAAAACUAGAAUCAACAUGGUGCUGCUUUUGUAAGACUAGAAUCAUGUUGGUGAUGGUUUUGUAAGAUCAAUACCAAUGUUUGUGCUACUUGGCACGCAACCAUAGAUUCUUGUGUGAGUCUCAGAACCAUGGUCGGAGGGCAUAUAUACAUUUUGUACACUCACCUCUUCCAUUCCAUACCAAAAUUUCAAAAAUCCAAGACCCCUAGGUCAAUCAAUGAGUUUCAGUCAAAACCCAUUAAUGGACUUAGAGGAUUCGGAUCGGACCUUCCAACAUUGGUCCAAAUGAUUUGAAUCUUUUUGUACAUUAUGGUGAUGGUUUGAGAGGAUUAACACCAUGUUAGUGCUAAUAUUUGGAAAAUAGCACCAUUCCUGGUGAUGAGAAACCAAGGCCACGGUGGUGCUACUUUUGCAAGACCAGCAUUAACGUAGUGCUGCUUUUACAAGACUAGAACCACAUUGGUACUGGUUUGUAAGAUCAACAUCAAUGUUCGUGCUACUGGGCACGGGCUAUCGAUUCUUGUGAGUCUCAGAACCAUGGUUGGAGGAUAUAUAUAUAUUUUAUAAACUCACCCCUUCCAUCCUAUACCAAAAUUUUAGAUCCAAGGCCCCUAGGUCAAUUAAUGAGUUUCAGUCAAAACUCAUUGAUAACCAAGAGGACCCUGAUCGGACUCAUUCUAAGUCCUAUGGAUUCACAUGGGUUACAGGAGUUCAAAUAUGCCCUCAUUACACUUUUUAGGCCUUCCCAGCGUUGGUCUAAACUAUUUGAAUCUUUUUGUACAUUAUGAUACUGAUCUAAGAAGAUCAACACCACGUCGGUGCUGAUCUUCGAAAACCACCACCAAGCCUGGUGAUGAGAAGCCAAGGCAACGUUGGUGUUGGUUUUACAAGAUCAAAACCAAUGUGGUGCUGGUUUUGCAAGACUAGAACCACAUUGGUACUGAUUUUGCAAGAUUAGGACCAACAUCUGUGCCACUUGGCACGCAGCCAUGGAUUCUUGUGUGAGUUUCAAAACGAAGGUGGGAGGGCAUAUAUACAUUUUAUACACUCACCCCUUAUAUUUCAUAUCAAAAUUUUAGAAAUUCAAGGCCCCUAGAUCAAUUAAUGAGUUUCUGUCAAAAUCCAUUAAUGGACCUAGAGGGUCCUGAUCGGACCCAUUCCAAGUCCUAUGGGUUCAUAUGGCUCACAAGAGUUCAAAUAUGGUCUCAUUUACUUUUUUUAGGCCUUCCAGCGUUGGUCCAAACGAUUUGAAUAUUUUUAUACAUUAUCGUGCUGGUCUGAGAAAAUCAGCUCUAUGUUGGUGCUAAUCUACGGAAACCAGUACCAAUGUGGCCUUGGCUUCUCAUCACCAGGCUUGGUGUUGGUUUCUGAAAUCAGCACCAACGUGGUGUUGAUCUUCUCAGACUAACACCACAAUAUACAAAAAAAAAAAAUCAAAUUGUUUGGACUAACGAAGGCCUAGAAAGAGUAACUGAGGGCAUAUUUAAACUCUUGUGAGCCAUGUGAACCCAUAGGAAUGUGUCCGAUCGGGGUCCUCUAGGUCCGAUUUAUGAUAUUUUGGUAUGAGAUGGAAGGAGUGAGGGUAUAGAAUGUAUAUAUGCCCUCAAAUCAUGAUUCUGAGAACCAUGAUAGCCAAACAGGUAUAUGCCCUCAAAAAAAUAAACAAUACUCUUUUACUCCAACAGGUAAAUGGAUGUUUAUCUUAUCAUGAUAAGAUUCCAGAUGGGUUUUACCUAAUUCAGGGAAUGGAUCCAUUUGUGUGGACCCUAUGUACUGGCGUAGAAGAAGAGAACCAAAUUCCAUCAAUUGAGUUAUUGAAGACUAUUCAUCCGAGUGAGUCAUCCGUUGAAGUAGUUCUUAUAGAUAGGCAACAUGAUCCAGACCUAAGGCAUUUGGAAACAAUUGUAAAUGGCCUUUCAUGUAGCUGUCCUACAGCUAAAGAUAUGGUGGAUCAGCUAGCAAAGCUUGUCUGUACACAAAUGGGGGGUAUAGCUUUUAAUGGAGAAGAUGCUCUUCUGCAUUGCUGGAAGGACUGGAGUGAGGUGAUCAAGGCUAGUUCAUGCACUGUUGUGCCUCCAAUGGGAAAGCUAUCGUUUGGUCUUUACAGGCAUCGAGCAUUGCUUUUUAAGUUGCUAUAAAGAAGUCUACGACAUCCUAAUAUCCUUCUGUUUAUGGGUGCUGUUACGGAACCACCAAAUUUGUCCAUUGUCACUGAGUAUUUGCCAAGGUAUGCAGUUUUUCUUAAGUUUUCCCCCUUUUUUGUAGAUGUCUAUUUCCCUUUCUUUGUACAUGUCUAUUAAUAAAAGCAUUACCCAAUGUAGUCCAUAAUACGAUUGAUAUAUGGAAGAUUUUGUGUUAUUGCAGAGGAAGUUUGUAUAUACUUUUACAUAAAAAUGACACAAAGGAAACUUUAGAUGAGAGACGCAGAUUAAGCAUGGCAUUUGAAGAUCACUACUACUUCAGUAACUUACAUAGUGACUUUUCACAAUUCUUUGAGGCUGCAUGGUUAUACUAAAAGCUAAUUUCUUCUGCAGGCAGAGGGAAUGAAUUAUCUUCACAAAUGUAAUCCUCCGAUUGUGCAUCGUGAUUUGAAGUCUCCAAAUCUUCUUGUUGAUGAGAAAUAUACUGUGAAACUCAAACUUUAGGAUAAAGUUGGAGACAAAUGCGGAAGAAAAGUUUGCAACCCUUCCAUGGAGCUACAAAGAGCAUUGCAGUUUGAUUCACUUUGAUGAGUUAAUCUGCUGUCAAAAUAUCAAUGAAUCAAGCAAAUGAUCUUUCUUGAACAACUGGCAGAGAACGAAACUGAACAUGCAAAGGAAUAUUUAUUUCAAUAGAAAUUUUUACAAGAUUAAUACUUGCUGGCAUACUCCAACCAUCUACCAAUGUUCUUUUUUUGGCAUUAAUAAAAAGAUCUGUGAUUUUGGUCUUUCAAGACUUAAAGCAAACACAUUUCUCUCAUCCAGAUCUCUUGCAGGAACACUGGUUGCUGCAGUCGGCUUCAAAGGAAGAAGGCUCGAGAUCCAAAGUAGUGUAAAUAAACAUGUGGCUGCUAUAAUUGAGUCCUGUUGGGCCAGCUUCAACGAGCCACGGAAACGGCCUUCUUUUUCUACAAUCAUGGAAUUCUUGAAGCCUCUAAUCACUCCUCUGUCACCUCAGCCAUUACAUGCUGAUACGUCUACCGUCCGAUAGCCAGACGAGUGCAUAUUCCUAAAGGUGUAUUGUAGUUCUUAUACUUGUACAAAGGAGGGUGCUUCAAUUUUUUGCCUAUUGAGGAUCAGGGGCGCGAGACUCAUCGACUUUUCGUCAUCAUCAAGCACAAGGGAACAUACCUGAAUAUAUGUGCUCGUGAUAGACAAUACGUCCGUCAUGUUGAAAGAUGUAGACUUGUGAUCGACAAUAUUUCUGUCGUGGGAAGAUAUAGAUCUAAAAUUGUGGUUUAUAUGUUCAUUGCAGUAGUAGUGUUUUCUCUAUUCCGUCUCAUCUGCGCUUCUAUGUUUUGUCAAUUAUACUACGGUUCUUGCAUUUGGAACAAACUGAAUAUGAA